AUUGAACGCUGGCGGCAGGCUUAACACAUGCAAGUCGAGCGAGCGGCGGACGGGUGUGUCAUGUCUGUGAAACUGCUUGAUGGAUGGGGUUAACUACUGGAAACGGUAGCUAUUACCGCAUACCUUCAGAUGUGCCCAGAUGGGAUUAGCCAGUAGGUGGGGUAAUGGCUCACCUAGGCCACGAUCCCUAGCUGGUCUGAGAGGGUGACCAGCCACACUGGAACUGAGACACGGUCCAGACUCCUACGGGAGGCAGCAGUGGGGAAUAUUGCGCAAUGGGCGCAAGCCUGAUGCAGCAAUGCCGCGUGAGUGAAGAAGGCCUUCGGGUUGUAAAGCACUUUCAGCGAGGAGGCGUUACUCGCAGAAGAAGCACCGGCUAACUCCGUGCCAGCCGCCGCGGUAAUUC
rnacentral:rRNA from 1 species